UGACAGGAGGUCCCUAAAGAGUCCUAAAGU
rnacentral:piRNA from 1 species